rnacentral:ncRNA from 1 species
AAGCUAGGGGUGCCGUAAGGCUGAGAAAAUACGACGGAUUACGUAUUUGACCCUUUUACCUGUUCGGGUAAUGCCGGCGUAGGGAAGCUUA